GCUAGCGUGGCAGACCAGCUAAAUGCAA
rnacentral:tRNA from 1 species